UACGUAGGGGCCGAGCGUUGUCCGGAUUUAUUGGGCGUAAAGCGCGCGCAGGCGGCUUGACGCGCCCGACGUGAAAGCCCCCGGCUUAACCGGGGAGGGUCGUCGGGUACGGUCAGGCUUGAGGGCGGGAGAGGGUGGUGGAAUUCCCGGUGUAGUGGUGAAAUGCGUAGAGAUCGGGAGGAACACCUGUGGCGAAGGCGGCCACCUGGGCCGACCCUGACGCUGAGGCGCGAAGGCGUGGGGAGCGAACGGG
rnacentral:rRNA from 1 species